UACGUAGGGUGCAAGCGUUAAUCGGAAUUACUGGGCGUAAAGCGUGCGCAGGCGGCUAUGCAAGACAGAUGUGAAAUCCCCGGGCUCAACCUGGGAACUGCAUUUGUGACUGCAUAGCUAGAGUACGGUAGAGGGGGAUGGAAUUCCGCGUGUAGCAGUGAAAUGCGUAGAUAUGCGGAGGAACACCGAUGGCGAAGGCAAUCCCCGUGGACCUGUACUGACGCUCAUGCACGAAAGCGUGGGGAGCAAACGAGG
rnacentral:rRNA from 1 species